GGAGUUUGGUCCGUGCCUCAGUACCAAUGUGGGGGACCUUCCUCUCAGAACCCCUACUGAUCGUCGCCUUGGUGGGCCGUUACCCCGCCAACUGGCUAAUCAGACGCAUCCCCAUCCCUUACCGAUGAAUCUUUGCUCCUCGUUAGAUGCCCGCAAAGGAGAACAUAGGGCAUUAAUCCGACUUUCGCCGGGCUAUUCCCUAGUAAGGGGAAGGUUGGAUACGCGUUACUCACCCGUGCGCCGGUCGCCAUCGGGUGGUGUUGCCACCUCCCAUGCUGCCCCUCGACUUGCAUGUGUUAAGCCUGUCGCUAGCGUUCAUC
rnacentral:rRNA from 1 species